rnacentral:lncRNA from 1 species
UUGCAAGAAGACAUCAAAAUCCUUUGAUGGAGAACUCGGCCCAAGGAUCAAUAAUGCCAUCAUGAAGUUUGAUUCUUCCAUGCAUACCCAUGGUGGUAUGUUAUACUCCCUCCAUCCCAAAUUGUAAGUCAUUCCAAGAAUUUUGGAGAGUCAAAGUAUCUCAAGUUUGAUCAAAUUGAUAUGAUAAUAUAAUAACAUUUAUGAUGUCAACUAAGUAUCAUUAGAUUCUUCAUCAAUUAUAUUUUCAUAGUACACCUAUUUGAUGUCAUGAAUCUUUAUAAUUUUCUCUAUAAUUUUGAUCAAACUUGAGAUGUUUUGACUCUCUAAGAUUCAUAAAAUGACUUACAAUUUGGGAUGGAGGGAGUACGGCACAACAAAUACUGGACACAUACUAUAUGAGUUGGUCAUGUUGCCAAAUGGAUUGAAACCAUCGGUUGCAAGGCCAAGUCUAAUGUUCCUAGCAUCUUUUGCAAAUUCCAACCAAUUAUUAUCGAAGUCUUUCCCUGCCUCACCAUCAGUUGGAUGACUAAGCUC